rnacentral:rRNA from 1 species
AUACGUAGGGUGCGAGCGUUGUCCGGAAUUACUGGGCGUAAAGAGCUCGUAGGUGGUUUGUCGCGUCGUCUGUGAAAUUCCGGGGCUUAACUCCGGGCGUGCAGGCGAUACGGGCAUAACUUGAGUACUGUAGGGGAGACUGGAAUUCCUGGUGUAGCGGUGAAAUGCGCAGAUAUCAGGAGGAACACCGGUGGCGAAGGCGGGUCUCUGGGCAGUAACUGACGCUGAGGAGCGAAGGCAUGGGUAGCGAACAGGAUUAGAUACCCUGGUAGUCCAUGCCGUAAACGGUGGGCGCUAGGUGUAGGGGUCUUCCACGACUUCUGUGCCGUAGCUAACGCAUUAAGCGCCCCGCCUGGGGAGUACGGCCGCAAGGCUAAAACUCAAAGGAAUUGACGGGG